UGCAGAAUUAUAGGAGAAUUUAAAAGGGA
rnacentral:piRNA from 1 species